rnacentral:rRNA from 1 species
GACGAACGCUGGCGGCGUGCCUAAUACAUGCGAGUCGAACGAGAGCGCCCGGUGCUUGCACUGGUCAAUCUAGUGGCGAACGGGUGAGUAACACGUGGGUAACCUGCCCAUCAGAGGGGGAUAACAUUCGGAAACGGAUGCUAAAACCGCAUAGGUCUUCGAACCGCAUGGUUUGAAGAGGAAAAGAGGCGCAAGCUUCUGCUGAUGGAUGGACCCGCGGUGCAUUAGCUAGUUGGUGAGGUAACGGCUCACCAAGGCCGUGAUGCAUAGCCGACCUGAGAGGGUGAUCGGCCACAUUGGGACUGAGACACGGCCCAAACUCCUACGGGAGGCAGCAGUAGGGAAUCUUCCGCAAUGGACGCAAGUCUGACGGAGCAACGCCGCGUGAGUGAAGAAGGUUUUCGGAUCGUAAAACUCCGUUGUUAGAGAAGAAUAAGUGCUAGAGUAACUGUUAGCGCCUUGACGGUAUCUAACCAGAAAGCCACGGCUAACUACGUG